rnacentral:rRNA from 1 species
CACUCCUGCGGGAGGCAGCAGUGGGGAAUUUUGGACAAUGGGCGAAAGCCUGAUCCAGCCAUGCCGCGUGCAGGAUGAAGGCCUUCGGGUUGUAAACUGCUUUUGUACGGAACGAAACGGCCUUUUCUAAUAAAGAGGGCUAAUGACGGUACCGUAAGAAUAAGCACCGGCUAACUACGUGCCAGCAGCCGCGGUAAUACGUAGGGUGCAAGCGUUAAUCGGAAUUACUGGGCGUAAAGCGUGCGCAGGCGGUUAUGUAAGACAGUUGUGAAAUCCCCGGGCUCAACCUGGGAACUGCAUCUGUGACUGCAUAGCUAGAGUACGGUAGAGGGGGAUGGAAUUCCGCGUGUAGCAGUGAAAUGCGUAGAUAUGCGGAGGAACACCGAUGGCGAAGGCGAUCCCCUGGACCUGUACUGACGCUCAUGCACGAAAGCGUGGGGAGCAAACAGGAUUAGAUACCCCAGUAGUCCCAUG